GCAGACCUGUGAAAGUUGUUCUACAGAGGAGGAUAGCAGGUUUUUGAAGUGUUCCCACCAUAAGAAAUAACUACCUGAACAUCUUUCAUGUGUUCAUCCUCGCUGCGCUCAUCCUCACUGUGGAAGCUUAUGAGAGCCCAAAAAUGGAUAUGAAGUAUUUCGGUAUAAUUUUCAGUGGUUGCAUGGCGCUGAUUUCUUUUCUUGUAUGGUGCUGUAAGAAUGCAGUAGAAUCCAGUGAGACACCAGACCCAAGCCGCCAGCCCUGCCGUGACGCCUCAUCUCCUGCUCUCAUCUAAUAUGUCUGAUUUGUAUUUAUGUGCUAUUGCAAUGCUAUUUUCUGUAAUAUGCUUUGGGAAUAAUGUUGAAUACUUCUGCUGACUCCAGUUUGGCUUAAAGAUCAAGAGUUCUUACUGCUUUCUCUCAUCAAAGUUACUUUCGACUUGUAAUUAGACAUGUAAAUCUCCAUGUGCAUUAAUAAAAUUUCACACCUAGA